ACCCUCUCAGGAUCACACCUGGAGAGUUUCCAAUACUCUACCAGUCUCGGCUAUGGGAGGAAGAGUCAAGCAGAAACCUACCCAUUCCAUUUCUACCUUGAUAGUGGCUAGAGAGUGGAAAGGAAUCUGCUACAAGU
rfam:Ornithorhynchus anatinus chromosome 4, whole genome shotgun sequence.